AGAACGAACGCUGGCGGCAGGCUUAACACAUGCAAGUCGAACGAACGUAGCAAUACGUUAGUGGCGCACGGGUGAGUAACGCGUGGAUAUCUGCCUUUUGGUUCGGGAUAACCUUGGGAAACUAGGGCUAAUACCGAAUGGAUCCUACGGGAUAAAGAUUUAUCGCCAAGAGAUGAGUCCGCGUCCGAUUAGCUAGUUGGUGAGGUAACGGCUCACCAAGGCGACGAUCGGUAGCUGGUCUGAGAGGACGAUCAGCCACACUGGGACUGAGACACGGCCCAGACUCCUACGGGAGGCAGCAGUGGGGAAUAUUGGACAAUGGGGGCAACCCUGAUCCAGCCAUGCCGCGUGAGUGAUGAAGGCCUUCGGGUUGUAAAGCUCUUUUGGCUGGGACGAUGAUGACGGUACCCGCAGAAUAAGCCCCGGCUAACUUCGUGCCAGCAGCCGC
rnacentral:rRNA from 1 species